AUAGAUUUAAGUUAAGUGGAAACUAUUAAUUUUCAAAAUUAAAAAUGUAGUCUAUA
rnacentral:tRNA from 1 species